UAGGGAAUCUUCGGCAAUGGACGAAAGUCUGACCGAGCAACGCCGCGUGAGUGAAGAAGGUUUUCGGAUCGUAAAACCCUGUUGGUAGAGAAGAACGUUGGUGAGAGUGGAAAGCUCAUCAAGUGACGGUAACUACCCAGAAAGGGACGGCUAACUACGUGCCGG
rnacentral:rRNA from 1 species